GUGUGGCUCUAAAAAAAAAAAAGUAAAACAAUUUUUUAAAAAGUUAAAAAAACUAAGAAGGUCACAGCAGAGUGAGCAAGAGGACAUUGAAAUGCUACAGUUACAGAGGGGCAAUUGAGAACACUAAAUAGUGUUUCAAGAAUACAGAAGAAGGGUAUCAAAAUCCAGUGUUCUUGGAGUCAGGGGCGAUUUCCUGUGGCGGUCAUGGCAAACUGAACCAUUAAAGAUCAUUAAGAAUUAUCCAGCUGGAGGUGUGGCACCAAACUGUGGCUGGGGAGGGGGAGGGGGUCAGGGAAACAGGGAACCAUCGCAGGCAAAGUGGAAUGAAAGGAAAUGAGAAACAUGCUGACGUGGGGGAGGAACUCCCAACAGUCUGAUUUUGUUAGUGAGCAGAGCACAAACCAGAGAGUGGUGACAGAUGAGUCAAGAUUAGUCAGGGCUCGGUUAUUACAGAGCCUCUUGCACCACAACACAGGGCUCACGCUUGGUCCCGAAGGCAAAGAGGACUCCUAGAUGUUCUUUGAUGUUCUUCAAGCAAGGCAUGACACCAUAAUCAAAGAUGACCGUUGUCCCUCAAACGGCUGAUGGGCUCAUAAAUAACUCAACACCGCAUAAGGAUGGGUUGACUGUGUUGUGCGCUGGUAUCAACAGUUGCUCUAGCACAGGCUGCUUUCUCCGUGAGUGACUAUCGGUAAUUGCUGACCAGGAUACAAGGUACAGUUGGGGGUGGGGAAAGUCUUCUAUAAACUGCGGCCUUCUCGAAGCACAUGCUAGUUCUUCUACAGUGCCAUUUGCGCACUAAAUAUUUUGUGCAUGAACAAACACUAAGUAUGAGGAGCAGUGUUUCACCGUGUACUCCCAGAAGCACAGAGUUUAUUAACAGCUUUUAGCGGCACCCACCCUGCCCCAGGAACGUGGGUGUCUCGUGUUACACAGCACUUAAUUUUUUGUUGCCAACUCAAGAGCAAAGUAUUGUGUGUGCCUGAAAAUGAACCUGGUAGCUUUUAUUUACCUGUAAGCUUGGAGUUUACACACUCAAAUGAAAAGCCCUAGUGAAACUGUAGCCCCAGUGAAACUGGACUCCAGGCUUCCUCCACUCUGUUGUAGUAUCUUUUUCUGUCCUGACUUAUUAAUAAAGAAAUGCAAAUAUUAGAGCACUAGACAAAAACCUGAAUCUUUAGAUGAAAUUCAGCAGAGUUGGAAACAAUUGUUUUGAAAUCUAAAAGGGAUUUAAAAACAUUAGCACUGUGUAGUUUUCCUUCAGUGACGCUAGAAAGAGAAACAUAUAGAAAAAUGUACUCUCUGCAACCAGCUACAGGGGAGAAGAAAUCCAAAGAAUAUAGGGAAAGGUAGCAGAGUGAGAGAGAAGAGAGGAGGCUGGCUCUCUGCAAUGCUUGGAAGGAAGAAAAGAAGAAAAGAAGGUAUUCAGUUUUGGUCACCGGAACGGAUUCUUGGAGGCAAACGCUAAAACGACUGUGGAUAAUCUCUCCCUAAAACUUCACAUCUAGCCAAUAAAAUCUAGCCAAGGGUCUUGAGAUUCUCUUAGAAUCAUUGUUUUUCACAGAUGUUGACAGGCAUGGUCAAAGUUUCCAUGAAUGGGAAAAGUUAAGAUGGAAGGAAGAUAUAAAAAAGGAAAGAAGGUACAAAGGAAAAAAGAAAAAUAUGGAGCCUUCUACGGAAAAAACAUCUUAAGGCUAUGAUAUGACAUAUGUCUUCAUCAAUUUCAGCUGCUGUACCAAAGCACCAAAGACAAGGCUCUGGGACUAGAUUAAUGAGCAAGGUGUUGUCCAGUUCUUGAUGGUAUUCUUCCAGGGCACAAGACACAUAAAUAAACCGAAAACUUCAGUGGAGUAUGCUCAAUGCUAAGGGCAAGAUGGAAGCACAAGCACUGAAAACUUAGCCUGUCAAUGGCCUUUCCAAACAUCUAUUCAUCUCCUAGCCAGGAUGUUCCUACUACGAAAAUAUUUUAUGUAUGUCAUUCCAUAAUAGUAUUACUGUAUUUUUCUCCUGAAGGGUGAGGCAUUAGUAUCCUUUCCAUAUUUUCCUCUUAACUAGAUAAAAAUAAAAAUUAUUCAUCUUUAUUAAAAUGUAUAUUAUUUUUUAAUAUUCUGCCUUAUCUGAGAAUAUAUAGCAGGCUAUGCAAUAUAUUAAAAGUGUUUGGCACAUGUAGUACAGUCUUGGAAAUACGAAUAUGUAACCCAAGUAGUAAAAAAUAUAUAGUCUAAUACUUAGAGAGCUCAGUCUGAUCACAGCCAAUAUCAUCAUCAUUAGAAAAAGAAAAGGAAAAUAAGAAAAAGAAAAAAUAACUAUUAAUUGUCUACCAUGUACCAAGUACUUAAUUUACCUCUAUUGAAUACAAAUCUCAUCUAAUAUACAUGUCAUUCUUAUAAUUUGGUCUUUUAUUAGGAAUUCUGAGGGUUUUAUUCAUAUGGCAAAAAUCAAUCACACUCCUUCCUCUCUCCAAAUUUUAAAGCCAUUGAAAAAUUACAAGUAGCUCUGAAAAUACUAGUUUUACUACCAUUAGGCUGCACUGGAGAAUGUUGUUUGCAAGUGUGGGGAAAAUCAGGCUUUGUAUUUCUUCCUCUUUAACUGAGUGAGUCAAAACUACAGUUAUCUUCCUAAAGAGUGCCAGGGGAAAAAAAAAAAACAGACUACACAUCAACAGGAUAAAGAAGAAAAGUCACAUGAUCACAUAAAUGGAUGGAAAAAAUCUGAGAAAUCCAAUGACCAUUCAUGAUUAAAAUCUCUCAGAAAACUAGGACUAAAAGAGAACUUCCCUAAUUUGAUAUUUUAAAAAAUCUACAAAAACCAUAAAAGUAACAUAAUACUUAAGGGUAAGAAACUGUAAGAUUUCCCUAUAAGAUCAGGAAUAAAGCUAAGAAUGUAUCCUUACCCUACUCCUUUUCAACAAAUACUGGAAAUUCUAGCUAAUGAAUAAGACAAGAAAAUGAAAUAAAAGGCACAUAAAUCAUAAAGUAAGAAAUGAAACUAUACUUGCAGAUGACAUAAUUGUGUAGAAAAUCUGAAAGAAUCAAAAACAACCCAAAACUCUUGAAACUAUUAGCAAUUAUAUCAGUGUUGCAAGAUCUAAAUUUAAUACAUAAAACUUGUUUACUUAUAUUCUAUAUUUAAAAGUGGAAUUUUAAAUUUAAAACUUACAUUAACUACACUCCAAAAUUAAAUACUUGGGUAAAAAUCUAUAUAGAAGUACGUACAAUAUGGAUUAGUGGAACAGAAUAGAAAGCCCAGAAAUAAACUCAUACCCAGGGUCAAUUAAACUUUGGCAAAGGAGGUAAGAAUAUUCAAUGGCAAAAGGAUAAGUCUACUCAGUAAGUGGUGCUGGGAAAGCUUAAAAACCACAAGCAAAUGAAUUAAAUUAGAACACACAUUCACCCCAUAACACAAAAGUAAACUAUGGCUAAAGACUUAAGACAGGAUGCCAUAAAACUCCUAGAAGAGAACAUAGCAAAACAUUCUCCGACAUAAACCGUUCUGAUAUUUUCUUAGGUCAGUCUCCAAACACAAUAGAAAUAAAAAC